rnacentral:misc_RNA from 1 species
UGCACUCUGUGGGGCCUCUGCCUG